UGAGGAAUCUUGGUCAAUGGACGAGAGUCUGAACCAGCCAUUCCGCCUGACGGAUGAAGGCGUUCUGCGUUGUCAACUUCUUUUGCGGUGGAAGAAACCUUGAUAUUCUUAUCAAGCCGCCGGUACCCCAAGAAUAAGCCCCGGCUAACUACGUGCCAGCAGCCGCGGUAAUACGUAGGGUGCAAGCGUUAAUCGGAAUUACUGGGCGUAAAGCGUGCGCAGGCGGUUUUGUAAGACAGAGGUGAAAUCCCCGGGCUCAACCUGGGAACUGCCUUUGUGACUGCAAGGCUGGAGUACGGCAGAGGGGGAUGGAAUUCCGAGUGUAGCAGUGAAAUGCAUAGAUAUGACAAGGAACACCGAUUGCGAAGGCAGCCCACUAAGAAAUGAUUGACGCUGAGGCACGAAAGCGUGGGGAUCAAAAA
rnacentral:rRNA from 1 species